rnacentral:tRNA from 2 species
GGGCGUUUAGCUCAGUUGGCUAGAGCACCGCCCUUACAAGGCGGGGGUCACUGGUUCGAGUCCAGUAACGCCCA